rnacentral:lncRNA from 1 species
GAGAAAAACUAGUCUGGAGGUGGGUUUGGUAAACUGAGAUACAGGGCAGACACGUUGGCUCACGAUUUGGACUCUGGUUCUCUUAUAUUUGUUGGGGACUUUCUCUGAUCACAGACCCAUCACAAACCUAACUUAAAAUCAUCCUGCCUUACCAAAUCAGCUUACUCGGAUGUCAUCAUUGUCUCCCAAAUUUCAGUCUAGCACGUUUCGACCUCCAGCUUCUUAGUGGCGACAUGAAGUUGCCUCUACCACAUGCUUCUUUUGCCAGAGGAUUUCAGGUUUGCUUUGAGAAGUCUCCUGUUCAGGUUGGUUUACUCCUGCAUGUGAGAUGUUUUGUGAACGAAAAUUUCAUGAACCAAAUCUGAGCGCAGGUCGUAGUCCAUAAUAAUUUAUUCUGGCUUCGUGCCUCACCCUAUAAUCAGGUGUUAUAUCAUAAAUGCAUCCCUUGUUCAGUGCACUUGUCUGUCUUCAAAAACGACACACCUUAAUUUUUUCUGCAUUGACCCUUUGUUACAUUUAUAGUUGUUAUUGUAUGCAUCUAUUAUGCAUUUACAAGGAGUAAAAUGCACUGCAUUUUAUCUGAUAUAAGGUCCAGGUCAGACCCAGGCACUUUUUCCUUUGGCUAUCCAGGACCUGAUUAGAAUGAUAAUUUAUGCAAGGUAACUGCAAGUCUAUCACAUGAAAAGGCAAGCAAUUUGAUCUUCCAUUUCAUUACCUCAUUACUAUAAUAUCUACAAUGUGCGAGUUCUGAUUAGAACCCCAAUUACAAUCCCAUUGGAAACAAUAAGUAAAAGAAAAUGUUAUCUAGGAUGGACAGGGCUAGUCAAUUGAUGUGGAAAAUUGAUCAUCUACUCAUUUCAAUCUUGAGUUCUUGACCCCUGCCAUAUAUGCCAUUAACUUAGAAACCUAUACAAAAGCUAGAGGGCAUAAUUCUAGUGCCCAUUCUUCCCUUUUGAAGAAAAAAGACGACCAAAACUACGCAGAUGUUUCUCUUGCUCAAGAGUAGAUGACGAGAAUGUUGACCUGGUGCGCCUAUGAUUGAGGUGAGAUGAGCUCACUGAAGACCUCAAUGAAAGGUUUGGCUCAAUAUCUGAAGGACUUGAUGUGGAAUGGCAAUAACGCAAGGAAUCCUCACUCACAGAUUGCACAUCGGCAGAAGCUACACUAUCUGUCUCAAUGUGAUCAAAGUCAUCAGAGCAGUGAAUAUUCUGUGACUUAGAACCAUCAUGAUUCAAUCUGCCUUCCAUUGAACUUUCACCCAGCAGCUUGUCACUGUACUGAGACUGGUGGUUCUCUUUCUGAGGGCGCAAAGCUUGCAACUGCCUCCCAAGAAGGUAAAUGGUCUCCUGGCAUGCUGCAAGCUUUUCUGCUGCAGCUGCUAUAUCUCUUUCCUGCCAAUAGAGUGAGAGGAAAGAGGACAUUUUCAGCUAAAGCUUCUAAAGCUAACAGUCGUUAAAAAAAACAUCAAAUAAGGAACAUCCUGAUCAAUUAACAAACCCUCCAGCCUUUAUAUGGUGAUAAAUGCAAUAGGUCAAGCAAAAAUGGGUGGUGAAGCAAUUAAAGUGAGAAAAGUUAAACACUCUAAAUAACAAAAAUGCAUGUAAAGGAAGUGCAAGAGAUAGCAUAUCAAACACCUCUAGAGGCAUCUUCAAAUGGAAUAUGAAAGACCCAACAGUUCAUUUUAAGUUUUUUCACUUAAUAUUUUCUUUGACUAGGUUCUCCAACAAAGUUAUCACAUUAUACUACAUACCUGUUUGAUCUUCAUGUCAGAAUCUUCAUUUUCUGAUGAUGAACAUACCAAGGAUGCUGUGUUCCUUUAACAAAACCAGAGCAUUUACAGACAAGUUAGAAAUACACAAUGCUUCACCAAGAUGGUGAUUUGUGUAACCACCGAUAAAGAACUGAUGAAGCUUACAGUGCAACAUCAAAAUAACCAAUGACUUCCAAUGGACACUCAGUAGUUUAUCAUUUUAGAAUACCCAUUAGUUCAUUGAUUUGCUGAAUUAAUUAUUUCCCUUUCCCUUAUUUGGUAAAUUGACUGACUAUUAAGGGAUCAUAGUUGCUCACAUGAUUAUCAAGCAUUAAGAAUAGUUCAUUGCUUACCUUUGCACUUUAUCCUCAAGAUCCUUGAAUCUAGCCAGGGCAUCCUGAUGACCACGCUUUUCUUCUAGUAGUUCAUCAUCUAACUUCGCAGACUUAACCUGUAAAAGGUUUACUUGAGCUUCUAACUCCUGUGCACGCAUUUCCAAUGACUUGUAAGACUCAGUCAUACAUUUCAGCUGAGUUUCAGCCAGACUGUAGAGAUUCUGAGAGGAAGCCAACUGUAACUUUAGUUCUGUUAGACUCUUCUCUGUAUCCUGUAGCAGCAACUUUGUAUUUUCAAGAUUUUCGUUGCUUCUUGCUAGAUCCACUGCCAUAUUUUCUUUAUCCACUUUCAGCUGAUCCAACUGUUUUAAUAAGCAUGAACAUGAUGUAACAGCUGCUAGAGAACUUGGGUUCAAGAUUCUAUCUUGAAGUACCUCUGAGUCAGGACAGGAAUGACAAAUAUGCUGGCACCCUUCAGCACACGCCUGUUUUGAUGAGUUUUCCUGAACCUCAUUCUCUAGCAAAGCAACCUUGUCUAUGUAAUCAUCACUGCUGACUUUUCCAACAUCACCCCCAAAGCCCAAGACACCAAAGUUCAGUUCAUUAGCUUUCGCAAAAACAUGAGAAAGUUUCAAGAUAAAGUCAACCAAACCCUUUCCGUUCAAUACAAAUUUAUCAACAAAGGCAGAGAAGUCGUCCAACUUUUUACUUAGGCCAUGGCCUUCUGGAUGAGUGUCCUGAACUCUCAUUGCUUCUCUGCCAAGUGAUAAUACAACCUGAUGAAUCUGAGAUAUUGCAGAUGCCAAAUUUUGCUUUGUGAUGCCUUCUUGAUCUAACAAAAUCAAAUUCUCCUCAGGCACACCCAUUUGUUUGGAGGGACCUAUUUGAACUCCCUCAGAAAAACGGGUGACUGAGUGCUGAGGGAGAGAUCCUUGUAUUUCCAAUAUAGCAGAUUUGAUGUCCUCCAAGACCUUCCCCAAAUCCAGGUCCUUAGUUUG